GUAGAGCACUCCUACGGGAGGCAGCAGUGGGGAAUAUUGCACAAUGGGCGCAAGCCUGAUGCAGCCAUGCCGCGUGUAUGAAGAAGGCCUUCGGGUUGUAAAGUACUUUCAGCAGUGAGGAAGGUGGAUAUGUUAAUACGCAUAUUCAUUUGACGUUAGCUGCAGAAGAAGCACCGGCUAACUCCGUGCCCAGCAGCCGCGGUAAUACGGAAGGGUGCGAGCGUUAAUCGGAAUUACUGGGCGUAAAGCGCAUGCAGGUGGUUUGUUAAGUCAGAUGUGAAAGCCCGGGGCUCAACCUCGGAAUUGCAUUUGAAACUGGCAAACUAGAGUACUGUAGAGGGGGUAGAAUUUCAGGUGUAGCGGUGAAAUGCGUAGAGAUCUGAAGGAAUACCGGUGGCGAAGGCGGCCCCCUGGACAGAUACUGACACUCAGAUGCGAAAGCGUGGGGAGCAAACAGGAUUAGAUACCCUGGUAG
rnacentral:rRNA from 1 species